AGAGUUUGAUCAUGGCUCAGAUUGAACGCUGGCGGCAGGCCUAACACAUGCAAGUCGAGCGGCAGCGGGAAAGUAGCUUGCUACUUUUGCCGGCGAGCGGCGGACGGGUGAGUAAUGCCUGGGGAUCUGCCCAGUCGAGGGGGAUAACAGUUGGAAACGACUGCUAAUACCGCAUACGCCCUACGGGGGAAAGGAGGGGACCUUCGGGCCUUUCGCGAUUGGAUGAACCCAGGUGGGAUUAGCUAGUUGGUGGGGUAAUGGCUCACCAAGGCGACGAUCCCUAGCUGGUCUGAGAGGAUGAUCAGCCACACUGGAACUGAGACACGGUCCAGACUCCUACGGGAGGCAGCAGUGGGGAAUAUUGCACAAUGGGGGAAACCCUGAUGCAGCCAUGCCGCGUGUGUGAAGAAGGCCUUCGGGUUGUAAAGCACUUUCAGCGAGGAGGAAAGGUUGGCGCCUAAUACGUGUCAACUGUGACGUUACUCGCAGAAGAAGCACCGGCUAACUCCGUGCCAGCCGCCGCGGUAAUUC
rnacentral:rRNA from 1 species